GCGGCUGCAGCAUAUCUCCCAUUCAUCCCAUCAUCCAAAAUCCAAUAAAAUCAACAUAGUUCAAAAAGCUUCUCCAAAAGAAAACCGUGAGUGUGGUUGCUCUCCCUGCAAACGUUCCAGCCAAACCCAAUUCGCUAAGUGUGACGACACACUCUUUGCUAAGGCCGUGAGGUCUCCUAUAAUAGGGUGGGGUCCACCCUCAAAUAAAAGGGAACCCUAGGUCAUGUGUCCUAC
rnacentral:lncRNA from 1 species